UGUGCCUGCGGCAGGUCAGGCACAAGGCAAAACACAGGCUUCGCAGGCAGCCGCCUUGUGUACGGCCUUGUAAAUCCAAGAAUUUCUUGGAUUUAAGGUUUUCU
rnacentral:sRNA from 1 species